CUGCAAUUGAUAAGGUACUGUAAAAAUGAAGAAGAAGAAGAAGAAGAAGAAGAUGGAUGUUGGUGUUGGUGGUACCUUGCAGUGAAGUACUAUACUUCUGUUAUUGAUUGUAAGAUGAUAAUGGGAAUCACUGCCAAUUUGUGGUGAAUAUUCUAAGGUGAAGAUUCUGUAGCCAGCUAAAACCUUCGGCCUUAAUGAAAUUGCUUCAGAUAGUGGUAGGCAAAGACUUUUUCGAUUUAAUGGGUGAGGAAUCCUUGCAGUAAAGUUGACCUAAGGCCGUACUAGCUCUGAAGAUAGAGUUUGAAAAGUUGUAUGAAUUUGGUUUUGGGGAUGGGGAAGUGUUAUGGACUCUCAUGAAGAAGGUGAAGAACUGAAGUCAUGGACAGGUUCUUUCCAAACUGAAGAAGAUUGAUGCAAUAUUGCAAUCCGAAGUGAUGAAUCUUCAAACUAGAGUUGAAGGACCCAUGCUGAAGAACCGGGAGUAAAGAGCUAAUUGAACCUGCAAAGAAUGGACACUGAGAUCUUCAAAUACCACACUUGAGGCAUUUAUCUCCUUUCACCCAAACAAAAGGUGUAACAAUCUGAGUUCAUGUAUUCAGUUAUAUAUACCUGUACAUACAAAUCUAUUUCACAAGUAGUAAAUGCUUAGAAACACUUAAAGUAAAUUAUCCACAUCUGCAUUUAAUGAUCAAAGUGUUGAAUUUUGAGGAUGAUUAUUUUUUAAGGGGGUGGGUUGUAAUACCCUAAACUUUUCAAUACUCACGUAUUUAAAGUCCUUGGCUGUUACCAUGAGAAUUUAAUUUGCAAUGUAAUGACCCGGUGGUUUGGUGCGUGUAUACAUGCACGUAGUACGAACACUUACAUAUAUUCAAGCUUGCAUGUGUAAGUUUAUCAAUCAAUCUUAUUUUAACUGUCCAAACACACUCUAACCUGAAUCUGCU